AACGGUAGCACAGAGAGCUUGCUCUCGGGUGACGAGUGGCGGACGGGUGAGUAAUGUCUGGGAAACUGCCUGAUGGAGGGGGAUAACUACUGGAAACGGUAGCUAAUACCGCAUAACGUCGCAAGACCAAAGAGGGGGACCUUCGGGCCUCUUGCCAUCAGAUGUGCCCAGAUGGGAUUAGCUAGUAGGUGGGGUAACGGCUCACCUAGGCGACGAUCCCUAGCUGGUCUGAGAGGAUGACCAGCCACACUGGAACUGAGACACGGUCCAGACUCCUACGGGAGGCAGCAGUGGGGAAUAUUGCACAAUGGGCGCAAGCCUGAUGCAGCCAUGCCGCGUGUAUGAAGAAGGCCUUCGGGUUGUAAAGUACUUUCAGCGGGGAGGAAGGUGUUGCGGUUAAUAACCGCAGCAAUUGACGUUACCCGCAGAAGAAGCACCGGCUAACUCCGUGCCAGCAGCCGCGGUAAUACGGAGGGUGCAAGCGUUAAUCGGAAUUACUGGGCGUAAAGCGCACGCAGGCGGUCUGUCAAGUCGGAUGUGAAAUCCCCGGGCUCAACCUGGGAACUGCAUUCGAAACUGGCAGGCUAGAGUCUUGUAGAGGGGGGUAGAAUUCCAGGUGUAGCGGUGAAAUGCGUAGAGAUCUGGAGGAAUACCGGUGGCGAAGGCGGCCCCCUGGACAAAGACUGACGCU
rnacentral:rRNA from 1 species